rnacentral:rRNA from 1 species
UACGAAGAGGGCUAGCGUUGUUCGGAGUUACUGGGCGUAAAGGGCGCGUAGGCGGCGCACCAAGUCAGGCGUGAAAGCCCUGGGCUCAACCCGGGAAUUGCGCUUGAGACUGGUGUGCUCGAGUACGGGAGAGGAUAGUGGAAUUCCCAGUGUAGAGGUGAAAUUCGUAGAUAUCGGGAGGAACACCAGUGGCGAAGGCGGCGACCUGGACGGACAUUGACGCUGAGACGCGAAAGCGUGGGGAGCAAACAGG